GUGCCAGCAGCCGCGGUAAUACAGAGGGUGCUAGCGUUGUUCGGAAUUAUUGGGCGUAAAGGGCGCGUAGGCGGCCUGGUGUGUCGGGUGUGAAAGCCCACCUCUUAAAGGUGGAAUUGCAUUCGAAACUACCGGGCUGGAGUGUCGGAGAGGAUGGCGGAAUUCCUGGUGUAGAGGUGAAAUUCGUAGAUAUCAGGAGGAACACCGGUGGCGAAGGCGGCCAUCUGGACGACAACUGACGCUGAGGCGCGAAAGCGUGGGGAUCAAACAGGAUUAGAAACCCCCGUAGUCC
rnacentral:rRNA from 1 species